GUGCUGGAAUUCGCCCUUGUGCCAGCCGCCGCGGUAAUACGUAGGGGGCAAGCGUUGUCCGGAAUUACUGGGUGUAAAGGGAGCGUAGGCGGGAUGGCAAGUAGAAUGUUAAAUCCAUCGGCUCAACCGGUGGCUGCGUUCUAAACUGCCGUUCUUGAGUGAAGUAGAGGCAGGCGGAAUUCCUAGUGUAGCGGUGAAGUGCGUAGAUAUUAGGAGGAACACCAGUGGCGAAGGCGGCCUGCUGGGCUUUAACUGACGCUGAGGCUCGAAAGCGUGGGGAGCAAACAGGAUUAGAUACCCUGGUAGUCCACGCCGUAAACGAUGAUUACUAGGUGUGGGGGGACUGACCCCUUCCGUGCCGCAGUUAACACAAUAAGUAAUCCACCUGGGGAGUACGGCCGCAAGGUUGAAGCUCAAAGGAAUUGACGGGGGCCCGCACAAGCAGUGGAGUAUGUGGUUUAAUUCGAAGCAACGCGAAGAACCUUACCAGGUCUUGACAUCGGAUGCAUGGCCUAGAGAUAGGUGAAGCCCUUCGGGGCAUCCAGACAGGUGGUGCAUGGUUGUCGU
rnacentral:rRNA from 1 species